AGACCAGCAAUUGAGGGAAACCUUGU
rnacentral:piRNA from 1 species